GAUGAACGCUAGCGAUAGGCUUAACACAUGCAAGUCGAGGGGCAUCGAGGGUAGCAAUACCUGUCGGCGACCGGCGCACGGGUGAGUAACGCGUAUGUAACCUGCCCGCAACAGAGGGAUAACCCGGCGAAGUCGGACUAAUACCUCAUAAAACAGGGGUUCCGCAUGGGACUAUUUGUUAAAGAUUUAUUGGUUGCGGAUGGGCAUGCGUACCAUUAGGUAGUUGGUGAGGUAACGGCUCACCAAGCCAUCGAUGGUUAGGGGUUCUGAGAGGAAGGUCCCCCACACUGGUACUGAGACACGGACCAGAUCCUACGGGAGGCAGCAGUGAGGAAUAUUGGUCAAUGGGCGAGAGCCUGAACCAGCCAAUUCGCGUGAAGGA
rnacentral:rRNA from 1 species